ACACCAUGCUUCCAGACAAGCACCUCUGGGAGUUCAUUCCGAUGAGAGAUGGGCUUCGACUCUUGAAGAUCUGCUUCAAACUAAGGGGGAUAGAGAACACCGAGGAUUUUAAGACCGUAUCCCUCUAUAAGAAAGUGGAAAUCAUCUUCAGUGUUUUGCAGGAUGACUUUCACCUCACCAAAAGCCAAAGUUCCCUCAUCUUGCAGAAGAUCAGUGGAGGGACUGACCUGGAGCUUCAGCUGGCC